AAAUGGACUCCUACAAUGCCUCUCUUUCUAUGACUGAACUUCAGGAAUUCAGUCCAGUGCUAAACUGUGUAUCUUUGCAACUGCUUCCAUCUGGAUGAAGAUUCUAUGAUGACAAUUAAGGUUCUGAAAAUUGUGAAUAAUACUGCUGUGAGCAUAGUUGUGAUGUGGGAUUCCCUUCUGUAUGCUGUCAGAUAUCCCAGAUUAUAAGUGAAGUGAACUCUCCGCUGGAGUUUUUGAUGGUUUGAAUGAGAAUGUCCCUCAUAGACCCUGGCAUUUGAGCACUUGGUUCUCCACUGGUGGCACAGGUUGGAGAAGUCCAGGAAUUAUGAAAUCAUGAUGUUGUUGGAGAAAGUGUAAUGCUGGGGGGGUUGGCUUUGAGAUUUCAAAGUCUCAUGCCCUUUCUGCCUUGAGCUUACGGUUCCAGAUGUAAACCCAAUGCUUCCUGCUUCCGUUGCCAUGCUUCACUCCUUCUGGGUUCUUAUUCCUCUAGAACUAUAAGCUCAAAUGAACUUUUCUUCUCUAUGUUUCUUUGGUCAUGGCAUUUUACCACAGCAAUUAAAAAGUAACCAAUGCAAAACUUUUCUCUCCACCUCCUGGCAUAGUUGGGGUUUCUAUUGCUUUGAUAAAAUACCAAUAACAAAAGGAACUUGGGGAUGAAUGGGUUUGCUUUAUCUUCUGUGUCUUGAGUCAAAGUCUAUUAUCAUCCAAACAAGUCAGUAUAAGCACUAAAGGCAGGAAUCUGAAGUCAGGAAUUGAGGAAAAGGACAGGGAGGAGUGCUGCUUACUGGCUUGCUCAGCCUGCGUUUUUAUAGCACCAGGAAGACCAGCCCGGGAGUAGCACAAUGUAUUCACAAUAGCCUGAGUCUUCCCUCACUAUUCACUAAGAAAGUGCGGUACAGACGUGCCUACAGUUUGAUCUUAAAGAAGCGUUGUCUCAAUUGAGACUUCUUUCUAAAUGACUCCAUCUCGUGUCAAGCUAACUCUAGUCAGCACACUUCUCCUCCUGCACAAAGGAUAUGGCACGUUCCCCACGUCUCUUCCAUCUCUCCUCAAGUAGCUUCACUGAUCAGAAGGACAAGCUCUUGUUUGACAUAGAAACUUCCAGAGCCGUUAGAAUGCAAUCAGAUCAGUUAAACAACUUGAAUACUUGUUUCUCCUAAAGAACUGGCAUUUAUUACCACCACCUCGCUUCACUUGUAAACCCCGUUGCUGUGGUUUUCAAGAUGUAGAAAUAUCAACCAUGGUAGAUAGAAAAAGAGGAAGAAGUAUAUGCAACUCUUUCCUUUUUAAAUAAGGUUCCUGGCCUGGGAGCAUAACUUACUGGUAAUUUGGCAGAGCACUUCUCCUGCAAGCAUAAAUAUUGGAAUGAUUGUAAAUGAAACAGACAAACAAACAAGCAAGCAGCUGGGCAUGGUGCCAAGGAUUUAUAAUCCUAGCACUGAGGUCACGGAGAUUAGAGGAUCCCUAGAAUUUGUUAGGCAGUUACCCUAGACUACUUGGUAGGUUCCAGGUCAGUGAGAGACUGUGUAUUAAAAGAAGGAGGAGGAGGAGGAGCAGGAGCAGGAGGAGAAGGAGAAGGAUGAGACUCUUUGUUACCUCAUAGAGGAACUCUUGUAAAUUUUGUAAAUUUUCUAACUACUGUAAAGCAUACGAUGUUACAGAGCAGUUCUUUUUCUUAGCUAAAUCCGAUAGAGAGACAAGAAAGCCUGACCAUUGGAACUCAAGCCAUCUUUGUCUUUUGUCUACCUUCUCAUAAUAAUUUAAAUUUCCCUUGGAAAUCAUGCAUUGUAGGUAGUUUUCAACUCUGGUCUACUGUUCUCAGAAUACUCUUCUAAUUCUUGCCAGCUUUCAAGUUGCUUGCAAUGUUCCCACCAUGAAAAAAAUGCCUCUUUUGGUUUAUUUUUAAUAAAUAAAUUAUGUCUUACCA